CAGCCGCCACGGGAAUACGUAGGUGGCAAGCGUUGUCCGGAAUUAUUGGGCGUAAAGGGCUCGCAGGCGGUUUCUUAAGUCUGAUGUGAAAGCCCCCGGCUCAACCGGGGAGGGUCAUUGGAAACUGGGAAACUUGAGUGCAGAAGAGGAGAGUGGAAUUCCACGUGUAGCGGUGAAAUGCGUAGAGAUGUGGAGGAACACCAGUGGCGAAGGCGACUCUCUGGUCUGUAACUGACGCCGAGGAGCGAAAGCGUGGGGAGCGAACAGGAUUAGAUACCCGCGUAGUCCCUGUCUCUUAUAC
rnacentral:rRNA from 1 species